rnacentral:rRNA from 1 species
CAGUCGCCACGGGAAUACAGAGGGUGCGAGCGUUAAUCGGAUUUACUGGGCGUAAAGCGUGCGUAGGCGGCUUUUUAAGUCGGAUGUGAAAUCCCUGAGCUUAACUUAGGAAUUGCAUUCGAUACUGGGAAGCUAGAGUAUGGGAGAGGAUGGUAGAAUUCCAGGUGUAGCGGUGAAAUGCGUAGAGAUCUGGAGGAAUACCGAUGGCGAAGGCAGCCAUCUGGCCUAAUACUGACGCUGAGGUACGAAAGCAUGGGGAGCAAACAGGAUUAGAUACCCCUGUAGUCCCUGUCUCUUAUAA